CAUAAUUCGAAUAGAUGAGGUGCCCUUGCAUGCAGCAAGGGGUAACAGGGAAUCGGGUGCAAAUCCCGAGCGGUCCCGCCACUGUAUUCGGGGAGUUUCUUUCUAUUAAUGUCACUUGAUACGUCAUCAGGGAAGGCCGAAAGAAAACGACGAUCCGAGAGCCAGGAGACCUACCUUCAUCUAUGUACCCAC
rnacentral:ncRNA from 1 species